rnacentral:rRNA from 1 species
UACGUAGGGUGCAAGCGUUCGUCCGGAAUUACUGGGCGUAAAGCGUGCGCAGGCGGUUGGUUAAGUCUGAUGUGAAAGCCCCCGAGCUCAACUUGGGAAUGGCAUUGGAAACUGGCUGGCUAGAGUGUGGCAGAGGGGGGGUGGAAUUCCGCGUGUAGCAGUGAAAUGCGUAGAUAUGCGGAGGAACACCGAUGGCGAAGGCAUCCCUGGCCUGUACUGACGCUCA